rnacentral:rRNA from 1 species
AGAGUUUGAUCAUGGCUCAGGAUGAACGCUGGCGGCGUGCCUUAGGCAUGCAAGUCGAACGAUCCCGCUUCGGUGGGAGAGUGGCGGACGGGUGAGUAACGCGUGGGAAUCUACCCUCUGGUGGGGAAUAACUCCGCGAAAGCGGGGCUAAUACCGCAUAAUCUCUUCGGAGCAAAGGGCAUAACUGCCCGCCAAUGGAGGAGCCCGCGUCCUAUCAGCUUGUUGGUGGGGUAAUGGCCUACCAAGGCGAUGACGGGUAGCUGGUCUGAGAGGAUGGUCAGCCACAAGUGCACUGAGACACGGGCACUACACCUACGGGUGGCAGCAACCGGGAAUAUUGCGCAAUGGACGAAAGUCUGACGCAGCGACGCCGCGUGGGGGAUGAAGGCCUUCAGGUCGUAAACCUCUUUUAUUUAAUUGUCAUGAUUAGACGAAUAAGCACCUGCAAACUACGUGCCAGCAGCCGCGGUAAUACGUAGGGUGCAAGCGUUAUCCGGAUUUAUUGGGCGUAGAGCGUUUCGUAGGUGGUUUGGUAAGUAGUGGGUUAAAUCCCCAGGCUCAACCUGGGAGAAGCUCAUUAAACUGCCAGACUGGAAGGUUGGAGGGGAGGCUGGAAUUCUGCAUGUAGGGGUGAAAUCCGUUGAUAUGCAGAAGAACACCGAGGGCGAAGGCAGGCCUCUGGACAACCCUUGACACUCAUGAACGAAAGCUAGGGGAGCAAAUGGGAUUAGAGACCCCAGUAGUCCUAGCCGUAAACGAUCCUUGCUAGCUGGUCGAUCUUUUGAUUGACUGGCGUAAGCUAACGCGUUAAGCAAGGCGCCUGGGAAGUACGGCCGCAAGGCUAAAACUCAAAGGAAUUGACGGGGAGAUGCACAACCAGUGGAGCAUGUGGUUUAAUUCGACACGAAGCGUAGAACCUUACCUGGACUUGACAUGCUAGCUGCACGCUUACCGAAAGGCGAGUUUCCUUCGAGGGUGCUAGCACAGCUGCUGCAUGGCUGUCGUCAGCUCGUGCCGUGGGGUGUUCCCUUAAGUGGGGUAACGAGCGCAACCCUUGCCCUGUGUUAGAUUUGUCACAGGGGACUGCCUCGAUCAUAUCGGGGAGGAAGGAGAGGAUGACGUCAAGUCAGCAUGGUGUUUAUGCCCAGGGCAACACACAUCCUACAAUGGGGGGGACAGCGGGUUGCGAAGCCGUAAGGUGGAGCCAAUCCCUAAAACCUCUCCUCAGUUCGGAUUGAGGGCUGAAAUUCGCCCUCAUGAAGUCGGAAUUGGUAGUAAUCGCGGGUCAGCAGACCGCGGUGAAUACGUUCUCAUCUCUUGUACACACCGCCCGUCAAGCGAGGAAAGUUGGGGGUGGCCGAAGUCUUCACUUUGUGAGGCCUAAGCCAAACUCAGCGAUCAGCACUAAGUCGUAACAAGGUAACCGUACUAGUAC